rnacentral:rRNA from 1 species
GUCUAUGGCCAUACCACCCUGAAUGCGCCCGAUCUGGUCUGAUCUCGGAAGCUAAGCAGGCUUGGGCCUGGUUAGUACUUGGAUGGAAGACUGCCUGGGAGCACCGGGUGCUGUAGGCU